CAGUAGCCGCGGUAAUACGGAGGGGGCUAGCGUUGUUAGGAAUUACUGGGCGUAAAGCGCACAUAGGCGGCUUGGUAAGUUAGAGGUGAAAGCCUGGAGCUCAACUCCAGAAUUGCCUUUAAGACUGCCGAGCUAGUAGGUGAGAGAGGUAAGUGGAAUUCCGAGUGUAGGGGUGAAAUUCGUAGAUAUUCGGAAGAACACCAGUGGCGAAGGCGGCUUACUGGCUCAUUCUAGACGCUGAGGUGCGAAAGCGUGGGGAGCAAACAGGAUUAGAUACCCCUGUAGUCCCUGUCUCUUAUAC
rnacentral:rRNA from 1 species